GUGCUCAUCAGCAGCACAUACACCAAAAUUGGAACAACACAUAGAUUGACAUGGCUCCUGUGAAAGAAUGACACACACAGUAAUGAAGCGUCCUAUAUUUUA